ensembl:lncRNA CASC15 cancer susceptibility 15
CUCACAGCUCCACGGCUGCAUCUCCGUGGGCACGCAAGCUUCCCCUGGUUACCUGAGCUGCUCCUGCCGUCUCCCGCCUGGGCUUCGCCGUGGUGCACCCGAUCCCGGAAUCGUGCGUCUGCGCCCUGCGAAAGAAGGACCUGCUGGCGGAGCUCCGGCCGGGGUCUCCUGCCUCGCAGCUGGGCGAGGGGACUUGGAGGACAGGGUGAAGCUGCAGAAGACCUGGGGUGGGAUGGCUAGAGAGGACGCCAAGGACUGGGGAAGGGGAAGUUAGGAAUACCUUACAUCCAAUGCCCACCCGUGCUCCGCAGGGCAAGGGCAGCCGUCGCCUCGGCCGCGUGCACCCAGCUCAGGCUGUUCCCAGGGAUUUAGUCUGGGGGGACAACCCAUGGCGAGAUGUGGUGGCAUUUUACCUCAGAGUGGAGCUGAAGAUGGAUAAACAAGGUAUCUGAUGUAUCUGCCUGAGAAGGCAGAGCUGGAGAAAGGCGGAGCGAGGGAGCGCGUGAAAAGAAAGAGAUGCCGAAUGCCGGGUGAUUGUCUGCCGCUUGCUGUGCAUUCUCAUUCUAGGGAGGAUGGCAUAAUUUAUAACCCAGCACAUGGAUAGAGGAACUGUAAAUUGUAGUCUGGAUGUCCCCGGCGCUGUCGACGAAGGAACUGAUGGGCUAGGCUCACAGGCAGAAGGAAUUUUCCUUGUCUUGGAUGAGACUUUUGACUUGGACUUUUGGGUUAAGGGCACCGAGGAAGAGAACCAAUGGCAGAGGCCACAUGUGCAAGCAAGAUGGGAGUCUGGAGAGCCUCAGGCUAAAUCACGAGUGCUCAGCCCUCUCCUCUUUGUAAGGGCAACCGGGUCAUAUCUGCCAGCAUAGAACUGCUCUGUCCACAGCCCUAAAAUCUAAUACCUAGAACAAUAAAUGCACUUAAGCACGUCAAACUCUCUCAACCAGUGAUGAAAUCUGUCACUAGCGAAGGGACUUGUCCCAAGGGAGCUGAACACCUGCCGCUGCACCCUGACAAUGUAUAAGAAACAAGCACCACUGUGGAUGCAGCCCCAGAGGCCUAGUGUCAUGGGGGUGCAAGGCCCUGCUUCAGGCUGGGGGCCUGGGGAGGGGCUGGUACCUCUCUACCUCCUGCAGCUCCUGUUCCUCUGGCUCCUGGUGAAAAUCUGGGUCUGAACCCAUAGCAAGUGAGGGCCACAAGGCUUCACCUUCUGAGAUGCAGCUAGAAGAAACAGCUGGUAUAAUAUAUGGUCAUGCACUACCUAACUACGUUUCCUCAACAUGGGACUGCAUAUAUGACAAUGGUCUGUCCCGUGAGAUUAUAAUAAAGCUGAAAAAUUUCUAUCACCCAGUCAUAUCAUAGCCAUAGUAAUGUCAAGGCCCAAGGUAUUGUGUGUCUGUGGUGAUGCCGGUGUAAACAAACUUGCCACACUGCCAGUCAUAUGAAUAGAGCACAAACAAUUAUGUAAUAUAUAGUACUUGAUCAAAAUACACAACUAUAUUUCUGGUUUAUGUAUUUACUAUACUAUACUUUUAAUCAUUAUUUUAGAGUGUACUCCUUCUGCAUCUAUGUGUCAACUGCAAAACAACCUCAGGCAGGUCCUUCAGGAGGUAUUCCAGAGGAAGGCAAUGUAAUCACAGAUGACAGCUCUAUGCAGGUUAUCACCCCUGAAGACCUUCUACUGGGACAAGAUGUGGAGGUAGAAGACAGUAAUAUUGAUGAUCCUGACCCUGUGUAAGCCUAGGCUAAUGCAUAUGUGUGCUGUGUCUUAGUUUUUACCAAAAAGUUUAAAAAGUAAAAUAAAAAUAGGAAAUAGCUUAUGGAAUAAGGAUAUAAAGAAACCAUUUUUGUACAGCUGUACAUGUGUUUGUGUUUUCAGCUGUGUUAUUACAAAAAGGUCAAACUUUAAAAAUAAACAAGUUUAUAAAGUAAAAAGAUUUCAGUAAAGUACAGUAAGGUUAAUUUAUGGUUGAAGAAAAACAUUUUAAAAAUAAAUUUAGUGUAGCCUAAGUGUCCAGUGUUUCUAAAGUCUACAGUAGCGUGCAGUCAUGUCCUAGGCCUUCACGUUCACUCACCACUCACUCACUGACUCACCCAGAGCAAAUUCCUGUCCUGCAAGCUCCAUUCAUGGUAAGUGCCCUACACAGGUGUACCAUUUUAACCUUUUACAUCAUAUUUUUAUUGUACUUUAAACAUAUCUACAUUUACAUGUUUAGAUACAUAGGUGUUUACCAUUGUGCUACAAUUGCCUAUGGUAUUCAGUACAGUAACACGCUGUACAGGUUUGUAGCCUAGGAGUGAUAGCCUAUACCAUACAGACUAGGUGUGGUAGGUUGUACCAUCUAGGUUUAAGUAAGUAUACUCUAUGAUGUUCCCACAACAACAGAAUUGCUGAAUGAAGCAUUUCUCAGAAUAUAUCCCCAUGGUUAAGCAACCAAUGAGUGUAUUUUCUGUCUACCUUUCACCUCCAUAAUAUAUAUAUUUUUCUACAUUUCUCAUGGUAGAGGGAAAGAGCAACAGGACUUCCAGAAAAAAAACUAAUGUGUCUUCAGACUUCUGCUUGUAUGUGGCUCAUGUUAUAUCUGAGCGUAUGCUACUGGACAAAGUGAGUCACAUAGCCAAGGCUUACAAUGGGAUGGGGAAGCAUACUUCAUUUCUGUGAAGGCACUCUAAGUCACAUGGCAUCAGUGGGGUCAUCUUGUUCUUUUAUAGUGAAGAGGGGAGUAAAUAAUAGAGGACAAUAAUACAGUCCACCAAAGAUACUGAGGCCAAUUAUAUCCAAAAAGCAAGAUCAGUUUGGUGGAAUGACUUACUAAUGCACUGAGAUGCCCAUAUGCCCAUAUUCCCUGCCAAACAGUCUAAAUGGAAAACUAGAAUCCUAAUUAAAAUGAGAAAAGGCGUGUCACAAAGCUUCCUUUAUUGUAGAGCAGUUGAGUUGUGAUGUUCGUUACUAGAUUUUUUUUAUUAGCCUGUUGUUAGUUGUAUGUAUGCCUUCUAUUUAUUAAGCACUUAUUAUGAGCCAAGCAUAGUAGUAAACCUUUUUCUGACCUUAUUUAAACCUAUCAACAGUCUCAAGUUGGAACUAGGUCUCUUUCCAUUUACAGAUAAAAAUAUUAAAGGACAGAAUAACUAAGCAACUUGCCCAAAGUCACAGGUCCCUGCUCUUAUCUGCUAUAUUUUCUUUCUCUAUUUUUCUUUUUCGUGUAAUACAGAAAGCCCAUGAUCAUCCUGAUGCCUCCUCUGUGUGGAUAUCGCAGGAAUGGCAACUUACGACCUUAUGAAGUAGUUUAUUCUAAUUUAGGGUAGCUCAAAUUACUAGAACAAAUAUUUAAUGGGCCUUUAAUCUUCUACCCCUAAAAUUUUUUCCAGUUGGUUCUAGUUUUAUCUUAUGGAGCUAAAUGUAUGGAAAAUGAUUCAAAGAACCUUCCUUCAAGUAGUAGAAAUCAUCUUCUAGAUUUUAUCUUUCCCAAUCUAAAAAUACAUUGUUGUUUCAACAAUUCCAUGAAUAACAUGGAUUGUGGAUUUUUAUCAUCCUGGUUACUUUUCUCUUGGACUGCCAAACAUUUAAGUGCGGAACAAGAACUGUCUGCAAUAAAACAUAAUGAAUGUUUAUGCUAAAUUUUUAAGCAUCGACAGCUUCUAUUCAACUGAUGUAUCUCAGAACACAAAAGAGUACUUGCUGUUUCGGGAAAUUUGGUUCCUGUCUCCUUCUCUGAUCUGAAUUGUUAUGUUGAUAAAUUUGCCAUAUUCUGCUGAAGAACAAAUUCUGGCAUCUUCACUGAGGAAUCAGUGUCUGCCUCUAAUACUUCUUUCUGUGAAAUCCUGACCUGAAGUCUCCUCUAUCAUCCCAAAGAUUUAAAAAAGAUUAAAGGUGAGGCAUGGGUUUCUCUGGCCUGCUUUGGUAAAUUUAUGUGCUCACAUAACUCAUUAAUUGUUUAGGUUUAAUUCAAGACAAAUACCUGCACGUUUAUGUUUGACACUAGUAUUUAUCAAAUCCCAAAGCUGAUCUGAACCCUAAACAAACCAUAUUCUUGGCAGCUCCUCCAAAUAACACACAUAGCAAAUAUAUUGACAUCAGUUGUACUUUAAAAUGUCAACUCUGCUUUUCCUUUUCUCAUGGUGCUAAUAAAAGAUUUUAUUUAAAAACGCUAAACUUGGGAAUGAAUGCCAAAUUCCUCUCUUACCAUUCAGUAGGUCUUUUCCUGUUUUAGGUGUAGGCUAUGGAUUAUUUCAUUUGACCUUCUUGCUGUUUACCUGGUUAUAAUAUGUGAAAAUACAAAAUUUAAAGUCUCCAUUAUGCUAUGGGAACGUAAAACUUUUUUAUUUUUUAAGAGAAUCUGUAAAUAUGUACAUUUCAGAGCUACCACAACUAGAAUUAUCUUUACUGUUAAUUAAUUAAUCAAAAAUAUGGUGGACAUUAUUAACAAUAAGCCCUGAAGCAACAUUUUU